AGAAAAACCACAAGUGAGGGACAUUAUACAAAAUACCUCACAAACACUCCUCAAAACUCUUUAUGCCAUCAAAAAACAAGGAAGGUCUGAGAAACUAGCACAGCAAAGAUAUGCCUAAGGAGACACGUUGACCCAAUUUCACGAAAGUGCAGCCUGAGUUGGCGUGGGGUGCCCUUCAUCAUUCUCUCAUCUUCCCUGCUCUCUUGUUUGCUCCUCUGGCCUCCAGUCCAGUCUCCUGGAUGUGUAUCAGCUGUUGGCUGUAAACUGCUAGUCUUUCAAAACUCCAAUGGGGAAGAGUCCUGGAGUCCUAAAUAGCAAUUAAUCUUGGGUAUUCAGACACUUUAAAGUUCAGGCCUAUCAGGGAUGCAUGUAGCAAUGGAAUGAAAGGCUUCACCUGGAGUCUGAUGAGGGCUGCAGUCGUGCAGAAGUUAUAAAAGGACAUAACUAUUGUUCAUGAGCUAGCACAGAAGAGGAAGGGACCAUGGAGAUGGACAGCAGCUCCCUCUUUCUGUCCUCCCUCUCCUGGCUUUGGCUGAAUACAAUCGGAAGCCCCCUUGCACGAGGACCUGGAUGACAUAGAGGCCCCUUUCUUGGGGCAGAGUGUCAGAUGGACAGAGCCAGUGGGAGAUG